AUUGAACGCUGGCGGCAUGCCUAACACAUGCAAGUCGAACGGUAACGCGGGGGCAACCCUGGCGACGAGUGGCGGACGGGUGAGUAAUACAUCGGAACGUGCCCAGUAGUGGGGGAUAGCCCGGCGAAAAGCCGGAUUAAUACCGCAUACGACCUACGGGUGAAAGCGGGGGAUCGCAAGACCUCGCGCUAUUGGAGCGGCCGAUGUCAGAUUAGCUAGUUGGUGGGGUAAAAGCCUACCAAGGCGACGAUCUGUAGCUGGUCUGAGAGGACGACCAGCCACACUGGGACUGAGACACGGCCCAGACUCCUACGGAGGCAGCAGUGGGAAUUUUGGACAAUGGGGGCAACCCUGAUCCAGCCAUGCCGCGUGCGGGAAGAAGGGCCCUUCGGG
rnacentral:rRNA from 1 species